rnacentral:rRNA from 1 species
GAUGAACGCUGGCGGCGUGCUUAACACAUGCAAGUCGAACGGAAAGGCCCUGCUUUUGUGGGGUGCUCGAGUGGCGAACGGGUGAGUAACACGUGAGUAACCUGCCCUUGACUUUGGGAUAACUUCAGGAAACUGGGGCUAAUACCGGAUAGGAGCUCCUGCUGCAUAGUGGGGGUUGGAAAGUUUCGGCGGUUGGGGAUGGACUCGCGGCUUAUCAGCUUGUUGGUGGGGUAGUGGCUUACCAAGGCUUUGACGGGUAGCCGGCCUGAGAGGGUGACCGGCCACAUUGGGACUGAGAUACGGCCCAGACUCCUACGGGAGGCAGCAGUGGGGAAUAUUGCACAAUGGGCGGAAGCCUGAUGCAGCAACGCCGCGUGCGGGAUGACGGCCUUCGGGUUGUAAACCGCUUUCGCCUGUGACGAAGCGUGAGUGACGGUAAUGGGUAAAGAAGCACCGGCUAACUACGUG